rnacentral:rRNA from 1 species
CCUACGGGCGACAGCAGUGGGGAAUAUUGCACAAUGGGGGAAACCCUGAUGCAGCAACGCCGCGUGGGUGAAGGAGUGUUUCGGCGCGUAAAGCCCUGUCAGCGGGGAAGAAGAAAGACGGUACCCGACCAAGAAGCACCGGCUAACUACGUGCCAGCAGCCGCGGUAAUACGUAGGGUGCGAGCGUUAUCCGGAAUUACUGGGUGUAAAGGGAGCGUAGGCGGCGGGUUAAGCCUGAAGUGGAAGCCCGCGGCCCAACCGCGGUACUGCGUUGGAAACUGGGUAGCUGGAGUGUGGGAGGGGUAAGCGGAAUUCCUGGUGUAGCGGUGAAAUGCGUAGAUAUCAGGAGGAACACCAGUGGCGAAGGCGGCUUACUGGACGGUAACUGACGUUGAGGCUCGAAAGCGUGGGGAGCGAACAGGAUUAGAUACCCCUGUAGUC